AACGAACGCUGGCGGCAUGCCUAACACAUGCAAGUCGAACGAGACCUUCGGGUCUAGUGGCGCACGGGUGCGUAACGCGUGGGAACCUGCCCUUAGGUUCGGAAUAACUCCCCGAAAGGGGUGCUAAUACCGGAUAAUGUCUUCGGCCCAAAGAUUUAUCGCCUUUGGAUGGGCCCGCGUUGGAUUAGCUAGUUGGUAGGGUAAAAGCUUACCAAGGCGACGAUCCAUAGCUGGUCUGAGAGGAUGAUCAGCCACACUGGGACUGAGACACGGCCCAGACUCCUACGGGAGGCAGCAGUGGGGAAUAUUGGACAGUGGGCGAAAGCCUGAUCCAGCAAUGCCGCGUGAGUGAUGAAGGCCUUAGGGUUGUAAAGCUCUUUUACCCGGGAUGAUAAUGACAGUACCGGGAGAAUAAGCUCCGGCUAACUCCGUG
rnacentral:rRNA from 1 species